ACGUGAGAACAGAAAAGAUUUUCCCUGAAGACUGACACUUGGAUAUUGCUUGGUGUGAAUGCUGAGUUACUGCAGCAAUGUCAGUGCGGAAUCACACAACUGUGUCUGAGGAAAGGUCUGGGUCAUCUGACAAGUGUAAAAUAAUCAGCAUUCAUACAUUCCUUCUCCGGUUGAUUAUAUCUUCCAAAAUAACUGUGCAACAAGGUUCCAUAUUUGGCUUGAUGGAAGUUUCUGGAAUGUGUCUGGAGUAAGAAUUUCUCUUCCCAUGGAUCAGAAUCAGAAGUCGGUGUACAAGACAAUUUGUGAUUUUCUUUAGAGUAAGAGAAAGGCAUCUCCAUGGGAGAGUAUAAAUAAAUAUUAAACAGAAGUCACAAAUGUAUUGCUCAAGCUACACAGAACACAUCAUCUGUAUUGCAUCAGCUCCAAGAAACAGUGAGAAAAAGAAUAAUGUAUUCACCUGAAGGAAAAAGCCCCGUCUGUUUCCAAAGCAGCAAUGGUACCAACACACUCAUCCUUUUCUUACGAUUAAGAAGAAACUCG